rnacentral:lncRNA from 1 species
CUCGCCGCCUCUGUGCGCCCGCGGGGCCGCCUCGGUGCCCGUUUACUGCGCGCGGCAGCCACUCUGGAGCCGGCGCACAUCUGGAUGGAGUCAGGCCCAGCGCCCGGGCCGGCGCCCAGCCAGUCCCCACCCGCUGGAUUUCCUGAUGUAAACAGAGCAAGAACACAGCAACUCUGCUGAAUGUGUCACGCGGCGCUCUUUAUCUGCUUGGGGUCAAGACGGCGACUUAGAAAAACAGAAGCGUUGCUUUGAAUUUAAACAGCUAAGAGCCAGAGCCGAGACUGGUCUGCAGGGGGGAGGGCGAAGGCCUCCAGACCCACCUCCCGCUUUUGUGCCUACUUGUUCCACUUGAUGGCAUGAUUUGUUUCCUUAGGAAUUCCUUCUAUAGUACUUGGAGCUUUGUGGAUAAAGCACCAGUCAGAGCCGCCCUGUGGAAAUGGAGCAAAGGACAUAGGACAAGUACCAUCCAGGGAUGUGAAAAAUCCAGCCUGAGGCCCCAAACAGAGUGGGGCCUGCUCUCUGGGCAGAUCCAGAGCUCCUGAAGAUGAAAACCUCGUAAGCCAACUGUGGACUCGGUGCUUUGCUGCAAGAGGAUUCAUUUGAGCUAUAAUAAAAAGUAGUGUGUUUAUUUAACCCCUGUAAGC